AACGAACGCUGGCGGCGCGCCUAACACAUGCAAGUCGAACGAGAAUCCGGGGCAACCCGGUAGUAAAGUGGCAAACGGGUGAGGAAUACAUGGGUAACCUACCCUUGAGAAGGGAAUAACCCGCCGAAAGGUGAGCUAAUACCCUAUACGCUAUCUUUUUUUCGAAAAGGAUAGGAAAGCCGGGUCGAGGACCUGGUACUCAAGGAGGGGCUCAUGUCCUAUCAGCUUGUUGGUGGGGUAACGGCCUACCAAGGCUACGACGGGUAGCUGGUCUGAGAGGAUGAUCAGCCACACUGGCACUGAGAUACGGGCCAGACUCCUACGGGAGGCAGCAGUGAGGAAUAUUGCGCAAUGGGCGAAAGGCCUGACGCAGCGACGCCGCGUGGGGGAUGAAGGUUUUCGGAUUGUAAACCCCUUUCAUGAGGAAAGAUAAAGUGGGUAACCACUUAGACGGUACCUCAAGAAGAAGCCACGGCUAACUUCGUGCCAAGCAGCCGCGGUAAUGUCUAGCAUG
rnacentral:rRNA from 1 species